rnacentral:misc_RNA from 1 species
GAUGAAGAACGUAGCAAAAUGCGAUACUUGGUGUGAAUUGCAGAAUCCCGUGAACCAUCGAGUUUUUGAACGCAAGUUGCGCCCGAAGCCUUUUGGCCGAGGGCACGUCUGCCUGGGCGUCACGCAUCGCGUCGCCCCCCACAAUUCUCCGUAGAGGGAACAUGUGUUUUGGGGGCGGAUAUUGGUCUCCCGUGCUCAUGGCGUGGUUGGCCGAAAUAGGAGUCCUUUCGAUGGACGCACGAACUAGUGGUGGUCGUAAAAACCCUCGUCUUUUGUUUCGUGCUGUUGCUCGCAAGGUAAACUCUUUAAAAACCCCAAUGUGUCGUCUCUUGACGACGCUUCGACCGCGACCCCAGGUCAGGCGGGACUACCCGCUGAGUUUAAGCAUAUCAAUAAGCGGAGGA